rnacentral:rRNA from 1 species
AGCGCAGGCGGGAGAACAAGUUGGAAGUGAAAUCCAUGGGCUCAACCCAUGAACUGCUUUCAAAACUGUUUUUCUUGAGUAGUGCAGAGGUAGGCGGAAUUCCCGGUGUAACGGUGGAAUGUGUAGAUAUCGGGAAGAACACCAAUGGCGAAGGCAGGUCUCUGGGCCGUCACUGACGCUGAGGAGCGAAAGCGUGGGGAGCGAACA